rnacentral:rRNA from 1 species
ACAAUCCGUCAGAGCCUCCUUUUGUGGGGUGAUGGCGUGCCUUUUGAAGAAUGAGCCUGCGAGUCAGCGGCACGUCGCGAGGUUAACCCGUGUGGGGUAGCCGUAGCGAAAGCGAAUACUAACUAGUGUGUUGUCAGUGGCGUGUCCUGGACCCGAAGCGGGGUGAUCUACCCAUGGCCAGUGUGAAGCAGAGGUAAGACUCUGUGGAGGCGCGAACCCACUUAGGUUGAAAACUGAGGGGAUGAGUUGUGGGUAGGGGUGAAAGGCCAAUCAAACUCCGUGAUAGCUGGUUCUCCCCGAAAUGCAUUUAGGUGCAGCGUCGUGUGUUUCCUCCUGGAGGUAGAGCUACUGGUUGGUUUAGCGGGACUAUCAUCUUAGCGACAUCAGCCAAACUCCGAAUGCCGGUGAGGUGAGAGCACGGCAGUGAGACUGCGGGGGAUAAGCUUCGUAGUCGAGAGGGAAACAGCCCAGAUCGCCGGCUAAGGCCCCUAAGGGUAUGCUAAGUGGAAAAGGAUGUGGGAUCGCGAAGACAACCAGGAGGUUGGCUUAGAAGCAGCCAUCCUUGAAAGAGUGCGUAAUAGCUCACUGGUCGAGUGGUCCUGCGCCGACAAUGUAGUGGGGCUCAAGCAUACCGCCGAAGCCGCGGCAGUGACUUUUUUGUUGCUGGGUAGGGGAGCGUCGUGUUCGGCUGUGAAGCUGCGGGGUGACCUGUGGUGGAGUGGACGCGAGUGAGAAUGCAGGCAUGAGUAGCGAAUGAGGAGUGGAAACCUCCUCCGCCGGAUGACCAAGGGUUCCUGGGCCAGGUUAAUCCUCCCAGGGUGAGUCGGGACCUAAGGCGAGGCCGACAGGCGUAGUCGAUGGACAACGGGUUGAUAUUCCCGUACCCGCGCAAUCGCGCCCAUGGUGAAUCAGUGAUACUAACCCUCCUGAAGCGUCCUUUCGCUGCCCUUUUGGGUGGUGUCUGGUUGUGGAUGCAGGGGACCUGAUCUGGUAGUAGCCAAGUGAUGGGGUGACGCAGGAAGGUAGCCGUGCCACCUGAUGGAUGGUGGUGUAAGCGUGUAGCCGGCAGUCCAGGUAAAUCCGGGCUGCGUGUGUGGUGAGACGUGAUGCGUACCCGUUGUGGGGAAGUUGGUGAUCCUAUGCUGCCGAGAAAAGCCUCUAGCGAGUGGUUGUGCGGCCCGUACCCCAAACCGACACAGGUGGUCAGGUAGAGAAUACUAAGGCGAUCGGGUGAACUGUGGUUAAGGAACUCGGCAAAAUGCCCCCGUAACUUCGGGAGAAGGGGGGCCGCGUGAUGUCUAUGCCCGUUGCGGCGGACGGCGUUGCGUGGCCGCAGAGAAUAGAGGGAAGCGACUGUUUACUAAAAACACAGGUCCGUGCGAAGACGGGUAAGUCGAUGUAUACGGACUGACGCCUGCCCGGUGCUGGAAGGUUAAGAGGACCUGUUAGAUCCUUUGUGGGUCGAAGCGGAGAAUUUAAGCCCCAGUAAACGGCGGUGGUAACUAUAACCAUCCUAAGGUAGCGAAAUUCCUUGUCGGGUAAGUUCCGACCUGCACGAAUGGCGUAACGACUUCCCUGCUGUCUCAACCACAGACCCGGCGAAAUUGCAGUACGAGUAAAGAUGCUCGUUACGCGCGGCAGGACGAAAAGACCCCGGGACCUUCACUAUAGCUUGGUAUUGGUGUUCGGUUCGGUUUGUGUAGGAUAGGUGGGAGACUGUGAAACCUCAACGCCAGUUGGGGUGGAGUCGUUGUUGAAAUACCACUCUGAUCGUAUUGGAUAUCUAACCUUGGCCCGUGAUCCGGGUUGGGGACAGUGCCUGGUGGGUAGUUUAACUGGGGCGGUUGCCUCCCAAAGGGUAACGGAGGCGCCCAAAGGUUCCCUCAGCCUGGUUGGCAAUCAGGUGUUGAGUGUAAGUGCACAAGGGAGCUUGACUGUGAGACUGACAGGUCGAGCAGGUACGAAAGUAGGGACUAGUGAUCCGGCACCGGCUUGUGGAAGCGGUGUCGCUCAACGGAUAAAAGGUACCCCGGGGAUAACAGGCUGAUCUUCCCCAAGAGUCCAUAUCGACGGGAUGGUUUGGCACCUCGAUGUCGGCUCGUCGCAUCCUGGGGCUGGAGUAGGUCCCAAGGGUUGGGCUGUUCGCCCAUUAAAGCGGCACGCGAGCUGGGUUUAGAACGUCGUGAGACAGUUCGGUCUCUAUCCGCCGCGCGCGUAGAAACUUGAGGAAGGCUGUCCCUAGUACGAGAGGACCGGGACGGACGUACCUCUGGUGUGCCAGUUGUUUCGCCAGGAGCAUUGCUGGUUGGCUACGUACGGAAGGGAUAACCGCUGAAAGCAUCUAAGCGGGAAGCCUGUUCCAAGAUCAGGUUUCGUUUGAGGUUCCCUGUAGAUGACGGGGUUGAUAGGCCGGAACUGUGAGCAUGGUGACGUGUUGAGGUGACCGGUACUAAUAGACCAAACAACAACA